CCAGCACCCGCUCUAUCCCAGCACCCACUGUAUCCCAGCACCCGCUCUAUCCCAGCACCCACUCUAUCCCAGCACCCACUCUAUCCCAGCACCCGCUCUAUCCCAGCACCCACUGUAUCCCAGCACCCACUCUAUCCCAGCACCCACUCUAUCCCAGCACCCGCUCUAUCCCAGCACCCGCUCUAUCCCAGCACCUGCUCUAUCCCAGCACCCACUCUAUCCCAGCACCCACUCUAUCCCAGCACCCACUCUAUCCCAGC
rnacentral:lncRNA from 1 species